rnacentral:rRNA from 1 species
CCUACGGGGCGCUGCAGUGGGGAAUAUUGCACAAUGGGGGAAACCCUGAUGCAGCGACGCCGCGUGAGUGAAGAAGUAAUUCGUUACGUAAAGCUCUAUCAGCAGGGAAGAAAUACUGACCUUACGGUCAGCAGACGGUACCUGAGUAAGAAGCCCCGGCUAACUACGGGCCAGCAGCCGCGGUAAUACGUAGGGGGCAAGCGUUAUCCGGAUUUACUGGGUGAAAAGGGGGCGUAGACGGUGCGCCAAGUCUGGAGUGGAAUGCCGCAGCUUAACUGCGGAACUGCUUUGGAAACUGGCGAACGAGAGUGCGGGAGGGGUAAGCGGAAUUCCUAGUGUAGCGGUGAAAUGCGUAGAUAUUAGGAGGAACACCGGUGGCGAAGGCGGCUUACUGGACCGUAACUGACGUUGAGGCUCGAAAGCGUGGGGAGCAAACAGGAUUAGAUACCCGAGUAGUC